GAAAACUUAAUCGGGAAUAUUUCCGACGAAUAUCCGACUACAGCUAUUUCCGACUACUUUUGCGACUACUUUCCGACGAAUUUUUCCGACUACUUUUCCGAUAAAAAACCGGCGAUAUUUCCCGACGCUAUUCCGACGACAUUUUCCGACAACUUCUCGACGAGAUCAUCUGACAAUUUUCCGACAAAACCUUCUGACUAAUUUCCG
rnacentral:lncRNA from 1 species